rnacentral:rRNA from 1 species
UUUUGGACAAUGGGCGAAAGCCUGAUCCAGCAAUGCCGCGUGUGGGAAGAAGGCCUUCGGGUUGUAAACCACUUUUGUACGGAACGAAACGGUCUGCUUUAAUACAGUGGGCUAAUGACGGUACCGUAAGAAUAAGCACCGGCUAACUACGUGCCAGCAGCCGCGGUAAUACGUAGGGUGCGAGCGUUAAUCGGAAUUACUGGGCGUAAAGCGUGCGCAGGCGGUUAUAUAAGACAGUUGUGAAAUCCCCGGGCUCAACCUGGGAAUUGCAUCUGUGACUGUAUAGCUAGAGUACGGUAGAGGGGGAUGGAAUUCCGCGUGUAGCAGUGAAAUGCGUAGAUAUGCGGAGGAACACCGAUGGCGAAGGCAAUCCCCUGGACCUGUACUGACGCUCAUCACGAA